AAUGGAGGAAACUCUGAUGCAGCGACGCCGCGUGAGGGAAGAAGGUCUUCGGAUUGUAAACCUCUGUCUUCAGGGACGAUAAUGACGGUACCUGAGGAGGAAGCACCGGCUAACUACGUGCCAGCAGCCGCGGUAAAACGUAGGGUGCAAGCGUUGUCCGGAAUUACUGGGUGUAAAGGGAGCGCAGGCGGGAAGGUAAGUUGGAUGUUUAAUCUACGGGCUCAACCCGUAUCAGCAUUCAAAACUAUUUUUCUUGAGUAGUGCAGAGGUAGGCGGAAUUCCCGGUGUAGCGGUGGAAUGCGUAGAUAUCGGGAGGAACACCAGUGGCGAAGGCGGCCUACUGGGCACUAACUGACGCUGAGGCUCGAAAGCAUGGGUAGCAAA
rnacentral:rRNA from 1 species